AAAUUGAAGAGUUUGAUCAUGGCUCAGAUUGAACGCUGGCGGCAGGCCUAACACAUGCAAGUCGAACGGUAACAGAAAGCAGCUUGCUGCUUUGCUGACGAGUGGCGGACGGGUGAGUAAUGUCUGGGAAACUGCCUGAUGGAGGGGGAUAACUACUGGAAACGGUGGCUAAUACCGCAUAACGUCGCAAGACCAAAGAGGGGGACCUUCGGGCCUCUUGCCAUCAGAUGUGCCCAGAUGGGAUUAGCUUGUUGGUGAGGUAA
rnacentral:rRNA from 1 species